CCAAUAGCGUAUAUUAAAGUUGUUGCAGUUAAAAAGCUCGUAGUUGAAUUUCGGGAUUGACACAUCGGUCGUGCCUUAAGGGGUAUGAACUGGUGUAGUCAAUUUCUCACCUUCUGGAGAACCGCGAUGUCCUUAAUUGGGUGCCGCGAGGAACCAGGACCUUUACUUUGAAAAAAUUAGAGUGUUUAAAGCAGGCAUUUUUGCUUGAAUACAUUAGCAUGGAAUAAUAAAAUAGGACGGCAUGAUUCUAUUUUGUUGGUUUCUAGGAUCACCGUAAUGAUUAAUAGGGAUAGUUGGGGGCAUUAGUAUUCAAUUGUCAGAGGUGAAAUUCUUGGAUUUAUUGAAGACUAACUACUGCGAAAGCAUUUGCCAAGGAUGUUUUCAUUAAUCAAGAACGAAAGUUAGGGGAUCGAAGACGAUCAGAUACCGUCGUAGUCUUAACCAUAAACUAUGCCGACUAGGAAUCAGACGAUGUUAAUUUUUUAAUGACUCGUUUGGCACCUUACG
rnacentral:ncRNA from 2 species